rnacentral:rRNA from 1 species
AGGACGAACGCUGGCGGCGUGCUUAACACAUGCAAGUCGAGCGGUAAGGCCUUUCGGGGUACACGAGCGGCGAACGGGUGAGUAACACGUGGGUGAUCUGCCCUGCACUCUGGGAUAAGCCUGGGAAACUGGGUCUAAUACCGGAUAUGACCUGCUCUCGCAGUGGGGGUGGUGGAAAGAUUUAUCGGUGCAGGAUGGGCCCGCGGCCUAUCAGCUUGUUGGUGGGUAAUGGCCUACCGAAGGCGACGACGGGUA